AUACGUAGGGUGCGAGCGUUAAUCGGAAUUACUGGGCGUAAAGCGUGCGCAGGCGGUUAUGUAAGACAGAUGUGAAAUCCCCGGGCUCAACCUGGGAACUGCAUUUGUGACUGCAUGGCUAGAGUACGGUAGAGGGGGAUGGAAUUCCGCGUGUAGCAGUGAAAUGCGUAGAUAUGCGGAGGAACACCGAUGGCGAAGGCAAUCCCCUAGACCUGUACUGACGCUCAUGCACGAAAGCGUGGGGAGCAAACAGGAUUAGAUACCCUGGUAGUCCACGCCCUAAACGAUGUCAACUGGUUGUUGGGAAUUAGUUUUCUCAGUAACGAAGCUAACGCGUGAAGUUGACCGCCUGGGGAGUACGGCCGCAAGGUUGAA
rnacentral:rRNA from 1 species